UACGGAGGGUGCAAGCGUUAUCCGGAUUCACUGGGUUUAAAGGGUGCGUAGGUGGGCUUGUAAGUCAGUGGUGAAAUCUCCGAGCUUAACUUGGAAACUGCCAUUGAUACUAUAAGUCUUGAAUAUUGUGGAGGUCAGCGGAAUAUGUCAUGUAGCGGUGAAAUGCUUAGAUAUGACAUAGAACACCAAUUGCGAAGGCAGCUGGCUACGCAUAUAUUGACACUGAGGCACGAAAGCGUGGGGAUCAAACAGG
rnacentral:rRNA from 1 species